ACGGAAGGCAGCAGUGGGGAAUCUUCCGCAAUGGGCGCAAGCCUGACGGAGCAACGCCGCGUGAGUGAAGAAGGUCUUCGGAUCGUAAAGCUCUGUUGAGAGGGACGAGAGAUAAUGUCAGGAAAUGGGCAUUAGAGGACGGUACCUUUCGAGGAAGCCACGGCUAACUACGUGCCAGCAGCCGCGGUCAUACGUAGGUGGCGAGCGUUGUCCGGAAUUAUUGGGCGUAAAGGGAGCGCAGGUGGGACUUAAAGGCAGUCUUAAAAGUGCGGGGCUCACCCACGGGAUGGGAUGGAAACUGUAGUUCUUGAGUGCAGGAGAGGAAAGCGGAAUUCCUAGUGUAGCGGUGAAAUGCGUAGGUAUUAGGAGGAACACCAGUGGCGAAGGCGGCUUUCUGGACUGUAACUGACACUGAGGCUCGAAAGCGUGGGGAGCGAACAGGAUUAGAUACCCUGGUA
rnacentral:rRNA from 1 species